GAGGAGAAUAUCCCUCCAGAUUUCUUCAUCUGCCUCAGCUUUUCCUGUGCAGUGUGUGGGUGUGCACCUGAAUGACCAAGAUUGUGGAAAUGUUGAGAACUGAGAUGAAGUCUGAAGUUUUCAAAGUACUGAAAUGGAAGAUACUGUGAAGAAUCCUGUGUCUGCCAAACCUGUCACAAAUAGAGGAAUUAUGGACUUCUUUGAAAGAAGUGCUAUGUGAGGCUGAUGGCCCUAAAAUGAAGAGGAAUGUUCAUUUAAGGAGGUGGCUGUGAACUUCACCUGGGAGGUGAGGCAGGAACUCGGUGAUGCUCAGAGGACCCGGGAGGUGAUGCUGGAGACCUGCAGUCCCUGUUGUCACUAGGUGAGGAAACUCCUCUGUAAUACUCAAGUGCAUCCACUGUUUUCUACGCUGAUAAAUAUGUGCAUUGCUCUUCAAUCUCCCUUUGUCGUUUAUCCAAAACUGAACCUUAUGCAACUUGAUCAAGGAAGAAAAUUGUUUCUCAUUACUGGACACUGUUAAAAUGUUGACGUGAGCAUCGGGUUGGAGCAGGGAGCAGAGCCACUGACCAUAGAAAAACUCCAAAAGCAGCACUUCUCAGGUCAGUCAGUGUACACCUUAUAGGGGGGCUGGAAGGAGCUGAGACAGGCAGACAUUGGCCACAUGGAGCUACUUAUCCCGAUACCCAAAGAUGGAAGUUUGUCUGUAAGUAUCAAACUUGUUCAUUAUUCAGUUUCGAUUACAACUCUCUUGUCAAUCUUCCCCUAUUUUUUUUUAAAGAUUUAUUUAUUUAUGCAUACAAGAGCUGGGUACAGGCCAGAGGUGUGGAGGGUGAGAGGAUUCACCAGAGACAGAGUGGGAGGCAGAACAGGCAGACUGACUGAAAUACACUGCUGAGAGGAGCAGCGGUCAAGACAGGAGACAUCUGCCGCACCAUGUGGGUAUCUCUCUGGCCAGCCGGGAUUGAAUCUGCGCUGCAGAGGCUGCGGACAGCUUCACAGUACUGUGCUCAACCCCAUGCGCCACCAGGGUGGCCUCCCCUAAUUUUUUUUUUCCUAAAGAUUUAUUUAUUUAUUGAUACGAGAACCGGGGUACAAGCCAUAUGCAUCGGAGGGUGAGAGGAUUCACCAGAGACAGAGCGGGGAACAGAACAGGCAGACUGAGGAAACACACUGCUGAGGGGAGCAGCGGGCGUGACAGGAGAGGUCUGCCGUGCCAUGUGGGACCCUCGCUGGCUGGCCAGGAUCGAACUGGUGCUGCCAAGGUUGCAGACAGCUUCACAGUGCUGCGCUUAACCACUUGUGCCACCAAGGGAGGUCCCCCCCUCAAAUUUUUUUUUUUUUCUUUCAAAUAAAUUUUAUUUAUUUUUUAUUUUUUUUAAAUAAUAAAUUUUAUUUUUAUAUUCCCCAUACAAUUGCAGCCCCCCACAUUCUGACCCCAAUCCCUCCGCUCCUGCCCCGCCCCCCUAAAAGUGUCUCUGGUUCAUAGUUUUUUGUUGAUUUUGAUUUUCACUUUCUUAUAGUUAUUCAUUUUCCUGGUCCCUUAUUUAAGUUUUCUAGAUUCCUGCUAUGAGUGAGACCAUCCGAUAUUUUUCUUUUUCUUUCUGGCUUAUUUCUCUGAGCAUGAUCCCUUCCAGCGCCAUCCAUGUUGCUGCA